GAUGAAGAACGUAGCGAAAUGCGAUAAGUAAUGUGAAUUGCAGAAUUCAGUGAAUCAUCGAAUCUUUGAACGCACAUUGCGCCCGCCAGUAUUCUGGCGGGCAUGCCUGUUCGAGCGUCAUUACAACCCUCAGGCCCCCGGGCCUGGCGUUGGGGAUCGGCGGAAGCCCCCUGCGGGCACAACGCCGUCCCCCAAAUACAGUGGCGGUCCCGCCGCAGCUUCCAUUGCGUAGUAGCUAACACCUCGCAACUGGAGAGCGGCGCGGCCACGCCGUAAAACACCCAACUUCUGAAUGUUGACCUCGAAUCAGGUAGGAAUACCCGCUGAACUUAAGCAUAUCAGUAAGCGGAGGA
rnacentral:misc_RNA from 1 species